CACAGAUGGAAAUGUGUGAGCCCGGUGUCAUAUCAGAGUAUCAGACCCCAGGCAGCUGGUGGAGGGGAACACAUGUCCCAGGUCUCUUUGGUGGGGAAAACAACACAGGUCCCAGGUCUCUUUGGUGGGGAAAACAACACAGGUCCCAGGUCUCUUUGGUGGAGAAAACAACACAACAGGUCCCAGGUCUCUUUGGUGGAGAAAACAACACAACAGGUCCCAGGUCUCUUUGGUGGAGAAAACAACACAACAGGUCCCAGGUCUCUUUGAAGAUCAGUGAGGUGAGAAUAUAGUCAGUCAGUCAGUCAGUCAGUCAGUCAGUCAGUCAGUCAGACAGACAGACAGACAGACAGACAGACAGACAGACAGACAGACAGACAGACAGACAGGCAUUUUCUUAUUUGUCAUUGUUAUUAUUUAACCUUUAUUUAACUAGGCAAGUCAGGUAGACAGGUAGACAGGCAGACAUGUAGACAGGGAGGCAGGCAGACAGGCAGGCAG
rnacentral:lncRNA from 1 species